rnacentral:lncRNA from 1 species
UUUUUUUUUUUUUUUUGCGCUACAGGUUCGCUGCAUAGUUCCUUCACCGUAACAGGCACCAGGAAGCUGUUCGGGCGCAACAGGCGCCGAACAGGAGCUCUCGAGAAGAAAUAUUGAUGGCUGAAUCACAAAAAUUCAGGUUGCUUGCUUUCCAUAAGAAAAGGCCCAUCGAUGGCCCAUAUAAAAGGUCAGGAGUUGCAGCGAUUUGAGGGCCUAGCAGCAACAUGGCCCGAUAGGAAGGCACACGUGCUUACGGAAAACAUUAGCAAUCGUUUCACGUACAUGCAUAGAUUUGGACUACCAAUUGAUUAACGAUUAGUACCACCUCGGAUAUCAAGAAAAAUAUCAAAAUCAAGAAAAAACGGACAAGAAAAAGCGUAUUAUGACAUGGGAAGAAAGCGUAUUGUGACAGUGAACCUGACAAAGCCGAUCCGUGCUUUAUUAUUAUAAAAAAAAAUAACUAGUACAAAUGCCCGUGCGUUGCACCAGGCAAAAAAAUGGCAGAACCUGCUUCAUGGGUUAUUUUUCUGUCGGUGUAGGUGGCUAUAUCAUACAUUCCUAGUACAAAGAUGGGUAAAUAUCAUGAUUGUUUUCGAGUUAAUCAAGCAACAACGAUGCAAUAGUAAACAAAGAUACAAAACGGCAACCAUGGUGAUCAUUCUAUGAAAUAGUAUAUGAUAACCUCAUACAUAUUCGCAGUACAAUCGUAAAUAAAAUGAUUAAUUAGAGGAAAAUGCAUCAUUUUCUUUUUUUUAGUACUUGGGGAAGGACAAAUAGUAUAAUGUGACAUCAGACCAGCAACUUCCUUGAAUCUGACAUGCUUAUAUCAUUUCAUACUAUGACCUUGCACUCGAGAAUCAAAUGGAAGCAUGAUAGACUGUUUCUUCUAGCUAAUUAUAAUAUGGACAGUAUAUAAUAUAGGCUUGACAAUAACAGUACAGCAUCGAUAAUGUAUUCAUAUGGGGCCUUCCAAACAGGUGUAAACUUCAGAAACAUAUGUUGUUUAUCUUUUAAUCCUCUUUUCAGGCAAGAAAAUGGUGGAUUAUAGAUUAUCACUUGUGAUCAUAAUCACAACGGAAGUACAAUGCGAUCGUCAUAUAAAAACAUAAACACGAUAUAUUUGGCAUAAAAACACGACAAAGGGGGGAAUUUGCUUGUCCAACAAGGCCUAUAGAACUGUCAUUAAAAAUAAUAACAAUUGUCCAGCAAACACAUGCAUUUCACAUACAGUAGUAGCAUAUAGAGUUCUUUGUUAAUAAAUCAGGCCAUAUUCGCAUGCAUUGAAACAUCUUAUAAUCCAGACUAUGCACGUCUACCAUCCUGUUAAAAAUUGACACCAUGGGUGUGCAAAACUGUAGAGUAGAAAACCAGCAUGAUAUGCACGUCUACCAUCCUGUACAUCUGAAUAUAGCUUGUACUGUGUGCAGCCUAAAUAUAGUCGAAUCUAGGUACAAAACCAAAGCAACUGAAAAUAUCAAGGGAGUUAAAUCGCCAAAUCUAUUGACCAAUAUCUGAAAAAGAAUUAUUAACGUCGGUCCAUUCUGGAGUAAGUUUAUAAGCUGCACUAUCAUCAAAUCUUCUCGAAAACAAAAAUGAUGCUUUGCUAGCAGGAUGAAAAAAAUAGUGCAUCUCACUGUUACAUAUCACUAACCAUAAAUGACAUAGAGCAAGAAUCUUGUUCAUAUUAACAGUGAUCAUAAAAUUGAAUUUAUAUGUACUAAUUAGUGGUCACUAUAAGAGAUGACUACACAACAGAAGAAAACAAAAAAGUAUAUGUAACUAAACCAUAUCAGAUUGACUCCUAUUUGUAUGGUUCGUCCAUCCAAUGUAUGCCUGAUGUGUAACAAAAAUUAUUUGAACAUAGUAUAUGCUCCAGUUUUCACCACUGGAACACCAUAUAGGGAUCACAAACAUAUGGUUUGUGGUGCAGGAUUCUAUAUAUUGAAUGCAAGCAUCAUGCGAAAUAUCAACCAGAGAAUCAUGUGUUCCAAUGCAACAGUACUACUAUAGUUUAUCCUAUUGGUUCCAGUAGUUUAUCAUAUCAGUUCUCACAAAACUAACUGGAUAACUAUGCACAUCAUUUUCGAUAACGUUGACAUGCAGGCAAAAAGAAUCAAAUAUUCGGUUCUAGGUGCAGAUAAGUCUGAUGUAUUUGUGGCACCACGACAAAGCAAAGAGUUAUUUGUUAAAAUUGACUUACAUAUCAAUAUGUUGAGUGAGCGCUGCACCAAAGAGCACAGAUAAUUAGUACAAUACUGGAAGCUUUGGCUCAAAAAAAAAAAGGUUAACCUCUACUAUCGGUCAAGCACCAGUGAAUUACAAACGUGGACAUGAUGAAAUAAGAAACCAUAUAGGCGUAUUACAAGCAUGAGUGUGAAGCAAACAUAUCUUAGUUGUGGGCUCUAACCACUGAAAGGAACAUGAUAAGAGUAUUUGGAAGAGAUUAAAUACUUGAAGCAUCUAUUUUUUGAACCUUGACAUUUUAAUUCUCAGCAUAACCUCCAAACCUGUUGUUGCAACAUAAGAUUUGUCUAUGAUCUCAGCUGUAACAAUUCUCUGUUCUGUCACAAACUCUGCAGCAAAACAACAACAAUCAGUUGUGAGUAAGAUGAGAGAGACAGGUGGAUCUGCCAAGGGCGUAUGGGGUGAGAGAAGUACUAACAGAGUGGUAGGGAGAUGAACUUCGGGCAGAUGGUUUCUAGGAGAACUGCCGUAGGUGUGGAUUCCUGAAGAAAACAAAUGGUCCAUAACAAUUCAUGUGCAGCUGUGCAGUGAUUCGGCGCUAGGAGAUUAACUACCUGUAGAUGAAUCCACCAUGAAGCUGGGAUUUGGUAGAGGAGUGAUGGGGCAGCAAUGUAGAUGGAAGCAGGAAGGACAUUAGUGGAAAAUAUAACAAGUUAGUGGAACCAUUGUGUUACAUGUGUUGUUCUACAACAUAAACAGCAACAAAUUAUCCAAAGGUUGAGUAAAAAUGGUCCAAUGUUCAAUAUAAAAAUCCAAAGAAGCUAUUGCGCCAAAAGUAAACAUUUUAAGGUAGAAUACUAAACAUAAACUGCAGGGUUAAGGUAGCAUUAUUUUUGGACACUGCAUCUUAUGGGUACUGCAAAUUACGUCCAAAAAGUAUCUGAGAUCUAAAUCAGGGGCGCCAUCACAGACAAUCAAGUCCGCUUUACAUCCAUCAAAAUGCCUGAUACCGACGCUAAGGCUGCAUCAUUUUCCUUCCGGAGUAGAUCAUGUAGUUGGUCUGGGACACCAUCCGCAACCACAAAGUCUCCAUGAGCUUUGGAAAAGUUGGCUAGUUCAUGAGCCAGCCCAUUGUUUGUCCUUCUGACAGUCCUGAUGUGAUAUUUAUUCAAGGCAGAUUUAAUAUCAACAAUAAUUGGGUAGGACAAUGAUCUGCUUACAGAAUCAGCCCCUAGCUCCUUUCCCCUCUGCAUAGUCGAUCUCCACCACAAGGGAGCCUCAGGAUACGUUAUUCAGUCAAACCAGAAUAGCGUUGGCUUCGGCCUCCUCGACAAUUAUGCAUGCGCCCAGCUGCCUAUCGGCAAGCAAUUUUUGCAUCAUCUCUGGUACUCCAUGCACAUAGUUGAGCGUGAUUAUAGCAUUGUAGGCAACAAAAGGAAUCCAUAUGUAAUCUGAAUCUUCACUGAACUUUUUAGGUUUGACCAUACAGGAGCUCGAUCACACAAAAAUUGACAGCUCAAACUUUUACCCUUACCUGUCCACAUCAUCCAUGGCAUAUCCUCCACAUACUUGGCUUAACAUUGAGACGGUUCACCACCUUCAUCUCACACGACUUGUCACACUGCAUAUCCAUGAACAAAUCCAGUUAAUGUUCGACGACUGAAAAAAAUUCAAAGUAAAUCGACGGAUGCAUGAAUAAAUGGAUUGAUGCAUUGCAACGGGAGAAAAAAAAUCACACACACACCACCAAGCUCUAGGAGCUUUGCCUCCGACAUGGCAAUCAAGCAUACUCGGCGCCCAUGGCAAUGGGUCCCACGACGAUCUUGCACCCCUGCGGCUCAACCGGCGACGUCGUCGGCAAGUCAAGGCAGCGGUGAAGCAGGCGCGACACAGCUGCCACGAGCUGCUUGGCCGCCUUUCCUCAAAUUCAACACAACAACAAAGGGAACUUGGCUAGAGAUUGCAACUGAACACUUAGCUGCAGCAGAGAUGACUAAAACUGUCAAGAAUACAAAUUUGGCUGUGCGUUACAGUGGGACAUAUAGUGUAUAUGACGGCGGAAACGGGCAAGGAAAAAGAAUAGGAAAUUAUUAAAUUAGUUUUUAUUCCUGACAACAUCCUUUUGCCCUGCAUUACGUAUUGUAAUGAUGUCACAAGCAUGCUCCUGACGACAACGAUUCCCAUGUGCUGGAGACCUGCAGAGGAUGGAGAAAAGAAGGGCAAAAGAGGGAGGCUUGUAUCUAUCAAGCAUAAAUAUUUACUGAAUAAAAUCGAGCUAAUCCGUACCAACUUGGGCAGGAUUGUCGAAUAGCUUCCUCUUAUAUAGCAUCUACAUCAGAAAAUCCAGCACACCAAAUAUAUACAUAUGUUUAGCAAUGACACAGAAAUCAGAUUGUUUCAAAGAUAGUGAGGACCGACAGAGGGUCUUGAAGAAUUCUGACAAUGUAAACCGUAAUAGGUUACAACCUCCAUCACACAUGUAAUUUUAUCAAAUUGACAAGGAAAGUUAUAGGAAUUGUAGCCUAAAAAAUGGUUCCAUCUAAAUCAUGGUAUGUUCCUGUUUGAGAUCGUUUAUAGAAUCAAUAAAAUGUAACGACAUUAGGGAUCAAGGAUCAAAGAUCAAUUAAGAAAAUCAGGGAUGGGGGAAUCAUACUUACCUUGUUAAGAAUGACACUGAUGGAAUUAGUGAAGGGAUGUGUGGUACGCAGGCCAAUGGAUCCGUGUGUCCUUGAUACACACAUCUACAUACACGAAGGUUGAUGGGUUGAAACUUGAAAGGAGAUUGAUUCAUCUGUCGACCCGACAUACACGAACACGAUUUUGUAGAUGUUGUACCUGAACCUCCUGUAGGACUUGGAGGAGGUUGUCGGCGAGCCAGGCAUCGAAGUCCUCCCGCGCCGACGGCGCUUCACGGAGAGGAUGCGGAGGAUCUCGGAAAGCGUGGGGCAGCCGGUGUAAUCCUCCACGAGGGAGGCUCCACCGCCGCCUUCCAGCGGCGCGCGGCAGUCGGCGCAGCCGGCGCAGAGCGUGGCCCCGGGGGCGCCGAUUUGGCAGCGGAGGGCGGCGCGCGCUGCGGCGCAGGCGUCGCAGAGCGGAGCGCGCGGGUGGAGGCUCGCGAGCGGGCAGAGGUGCGUGCGCGGUGGUGGGCGGGUUGAGGUCGGCCGCGGCGGCGAGUGGUGCGGCGGUGGCUAGGGGAUUUGGCUCGGCCUAGCCAGGGUCGAGGCCAGGAGCCAGAUGUGUACGGGUAUUUUCUUUCAGCGAAUCGUUUUUUCGUGGCAGAUUAAUGCUGGAUUGCGGGUUGAACACACAAAAUCACAGGGACCUUUGUGCAAAAACGCCAUGACGGUGAACCCGACAAAGUCAAUGCGUGCUUUAUUAUUAUAGGGAAAGACUAGCACAAAUGCCCGUGCGUUGCACCGGGCGAAAAAGGGGCACAACUGGCUUCAUGUUCCAUUAUGCACCAUUAUAUAUCCAAUUUUAAUAAACAUCGAUAAUAAGGUUAAGCAGAUUAGUGUUUUUUAUAGCAUAGAAAACAUGCUCGUGCGUUGCAGCGGGAGUUUUAAAAAAUAGCCCAUGGUCCUAACCUUAUCCAAUAAGCAUGGCUAAAGACACCCCACCCCUGAAGUUCAGAAUCUAAAAAAAAAACCAACAGUUUUGGUUUGCAACUUCCUUCUUACGAAAUACAAAGUGAAAGCGUAAACUUACGAGGAGAAGCGUAUUGUGACGGUGAACCCGACAAAGUCAAUCCAUGCUUUAUUAUUAGGGAGAGACUAACAAAAAAGCCCGUGCGUUGCAACGGGUACAAAAUGAAUUUGACAAUUCAUAUGGUAUUUGACUGUUUACCUCCCGUGGUGAACUAUAGCACCCAAUCAGUCGGCUUCUGCCUCGACUUAUCUUUCGUUUGGUGUAAAAUUGCCGGGCAUUCGACAGCCAUGCUACUAUUGAGAUGCAACACUCAUCCUUGAAAAAAAAUAAAAAUGAUACCCCCUCCUAUCUAAAAUAAAAUAAGUGUCGCAGUUUUAAACUGGGUUUAGUUCAAGACUACGAUACUUAUUAUGGAUCGGAGGUGGUAUUACUCAGAUAUGUGUAUGUGAAAGUUGACAUAUAAAAUUUUCACCAUAUAUGAACCACAAAAAUACAUAUGCAGGAGGAACAUUAGUCUACUUAAGAUCACUCAACAUGCUAAUGCUGCUAGCCACACCCUUGCUUGUAUAGGACGGGCGCAAUAGUGAACUGUGUGUUGGCUUUGAAACUUCCCCGAAGAGAUAGUAGCAUAGUUAAGUCUAAAUGUAAUCAUCUCGUUUGAUUAAUGAAAGUUCCUUCUUUCGCAAAAAAAGGAACUGCAAAAAUACAAAAAUACAUUAUUGAUCAAGCUGAUUAGUCAUGGUAUAUACAUGCCACUCAUUGUAGAUAACAUUGAGAAAUUAUCCAAAUUUUAUUGUUGGAUUUGGAUCGAAAUAAACUUAACUUAGGUCUGAAAACUAAACAAACUUCCUUCAAAGUGUGAAAUUAUCUGCGCAUACUCAUACAUGCUCAGUGGAAGCAAACCUUUUAGCAAUAAUGAUAUACUAUCACAUAGUAUCUCUAUAUAGAUCUCUAAAUAGUUGAAAAACACAUGUACAUAUAUUAUUGGCUCUAAGUAAUGCAACGACAAAUAUAUUUACUUCGGAUAGACCUUGAGUUUUUUAUGGAGACGACGACAAGCGUGAGUAAUUGUGGAUAUAGAUUGUGACAGAUGUGGCACUAAUAGAAAAUAAAAAGUAUCUUGAAGUCUAAUUCAGUUUAGUUAAUGUCAAUACUGCAUCUAGCUAUUUGCUUCAUGCACAUAAUGACAUAUGCAUAGGAACACACCUGAGGAUGUGACGUGCUCGAAGUAGUUAGUACUUUUAUCUCGGUCCGCCUGCAGUAAUCAUCCGUACAUGCAUCUAGCUGCUUGCCCUCAGUUGAUAAGCAUGCAUCCAGCUAAUCGUCAUCCGGUGCCCUGAUCACCCAGAUAUUACUUGUGGCAUUGGUUAUAGCGGCGGCGGCGGCGGUGCUUCAAUGUGAUAAAGCCAUCUUUCCUAGAGUUUCCAGUCAAGGAAGACGACAUGGUGAUUUGUGAGUACAGUAUGGGCAGAGGGCGGCGCGGGAACGGUGCAGGCGCUCGACGACGAACGGUAGCCAGAGCAGCGGAUCAGUGGUGGAUCUGGUUUUUCUGGAUCAUGAUCUCGUGGUUGUAUGCAUUGGUUUUCUAGUUCCCAUAUGGCCGUAUUGUUGGCGGUCAGAAGGACCAAUUGACGAACCAGCUGAACGAGCAACUUCGGCCAAUGGCGUUUGAUCGAUCUCAAAGUCUCAAUUGUGUGUUGAUCAGACUGUAUUAUUCACGUACAUGAGAAGAUAAUCAAAUCGUUCCUUCUAAAUCAUGGUUGGCUCCUUGACACGAGCCACCACACCUCAAAAUGGGGUUGCGCGCCUGCGCCGCCGCUGUCUUAGCAGCUCCAAUCGACCAUGGCUGUCCGCUGGACCGGUGGGUUCUCAAAAGCAGCGAUGGCAGCGCCCCCGCGUCCUCGCUUGAUGAGAUGGCUGAUGUGUGCGACCGUACACUACCGCGGUCUCAUGGUCGAGAUGAAGUGCCCCGUCAAAUCGGCCGUCAACCGGCUCCUUCCGCCUCCAGGGGAUCCACCUCCUCCCCUUCUCUCUUUCCUGAAUCUUGAGCCCAUAUUUAUGGGAGGGUCAAGGGAAAACUCCAAACUGAUCGAGAGUCCGCCCUCGUCUUAGCUCUCUGAUUUCUAUUUGUUUGUUGGGCUAGGUGGACCAGAAUAAUGGGCUGCCUAGGUUGAAUCUAAUAUUUGAGGACGCGAGAUGAAAGCUGACGUACGGACAAGUCAAGACGGACGGAAAUUAUAAAAUUUAGUACCACCUUGAAUAUAUUUUAAAUUCAAACUGAAAGCGUAAAAUCACGGAAAGAAGCGUAUUGUGACGGUGAACCCGACAGACCCAUGUGUUGCAACGGGAGAAAAAUGUUCAAUUUGUAUGUAAAAUUGUUAAAUUUAUGUAAAAAAAGUUCAAUGUAUAUUCUUCUAAAAAUACAACGUAUAUCAAAAAUAAAUAAACAUUUGGAAUUGCAAAAUUUGUUCAGGUUUCGAAAUUUUGUUUGAAUUUUCGAUAUUUAUUGACGAUUUUAAAAACGUAUUCAUAUUCAAAUAUUUUAAGGAAAAUCGUCCACACUUGUUUCCAAGAAUUGUUGAAAAUAUUUAAGAAAAAUAAAUAGACCUGUCGCUAAACUACUUUAACUGGGGCGCUGCAAUUUGAGCAUAAUCAACAGCUAGCUCAUGUGGUUGGCGUCCCUGCUACCUAGCGUGAGGUCGCGAGAUCGAACCCAUCAUGUGUGGUUUUGUUUUUCGUGCUAUUUUUACGUUCUUGUUUCCUGGUUAUGGGCCGGCCCGAUUACAUACGCGAGGUUUCAGCCAAAGCUCGACUGGGCCGGCCCGAUUACGUACACGAGGUUUCAUCCAAAGCUCGACUGUUAGAGCUCUCCGGGAAUAGUACCACCUUGGAUUUUUAUUUUGUCUACACGAAUUGUAAAAGCGUAUUACGACAUGAAAAGAAAGCGUAUUGUGACGGUGAACCCGACAAAGUCAAUCCGUGGUUUAUUAUUAGGGAGAGAUAGCAAAAAUGCCCGUGCGUUGCAACGGUACAAAAUGAAAAUGGUUAUAAACUCAAAAUACAAUUUACUAUUUAAAUAAUGUUGCAGGUAGCAUAACAAUAUUAGAAGUAAAUUAAAGUACCAAGGACCAUAUUCUUGACACAAAGAGUGAUAAUUCGCUAAUACUUCAAGAAAGAAAAGAAAUUCCCUGAUGUUAGAAGCAAAAUGAUGCACCUCGUGUUCGUGUUUCACUUGUGAAGCUAACGUGAAGCUGACAUCAAAACAGGAAGUAAAAAAUCAAAGAUAUUAAAAGGCUUAGUAAUCAAAGGAGAUAAGCAACGUCCAACAAAAAGAGAAAACAUUACUAUUCGGAGUAAUUGCGUACCAGUCACGCCUUAAACCAUUUGGUACACAAUGAUUGUCGCAUAUAAGGAGUAAGUAUAUUUCCUUUUUUGCGAAAAACUUUCAAUAUAUUCAUCUUCCAUUAUCUAUUUUCCUUUUUAUUUUAUUAAACAUGUGUACACUGUUUAUCAUGCCUACUUUUCUAGAUCACAACCGAUAUCUUAGCCUGCGUGCCACUUGUAGUAUAUUUCUCUGUCCAACUUGUGGAAUAUUGUGAUUUAAAAAAACAUGUGGAAUAUUGGCACAUUUUGGACCCAUUCCAGGCAUUGUGCAUGAAUGCCGAUUUAAUCGGUCUCUUUAAUUAAUAAUCGGCCUCCAUUAAAUCCAUCAAUCCGCCUUGAAUUAAUUCCUCCAUUCCAUUCCACUUGUAGUAUGAGCAAGAUUUAAUUGGGGUCUUUCUCCCAUAAUUCGGGAUUGCUGCGAUUUGAUCUGGUCUCUCUCCCAUUAAUUUCACCAAACUAUCUCUCUCCCCAUAAUUUUCCCUUUCAUUCCUUCAUAUAUGAGCGCCCGAUUUAAUUCUCCUUUAUAAUUCCUCUUCUCCCUUAAUUCCUUCUUUUUGGGAAGCAUGAUCGCUAUGUAUACGUAUCCUCUCUACUUUUACAUGUAAACAUGACUUGUCUCAAUUGGUGGCAGCGCUCAACAUUGAAGUGGAGGUUGUGAGCUCGAUCCCCUGUGAGCAAUUAUUUUUCUCCACCUUCUUUAUUUUCACAACAGCCUGAUAGCGGGCUGAGGCCCAAUGUGGCGAUGUGGCCCAAGCACUUGACGUAGGAAGGAUUGCGACGGACCGGACCAACCGACGAAGAAAACGUGGAUUUGUAUGCAAACGGAGAAAAUUAUAAAAUUUACGGAAAGCGUAAAUUCACGGGAAGAAGCGUAUUAUGACGGUGAACCCGACAAAGUCAAUCCGUGCUUUAUUAUUAGGGAGGGAUAGAUAGCAAAAAGGCCCGUGCGUUGCAACGGGUGAAAAUCAAUAUCAAACACCCCUUGCCUUUUCGCACCUUAUCCUCUUCCCUGGCGCUUGUCCGAGAUAGUUGUGAUGUCUAUGUGAUCACAAUGCACCCAAAUGUGAUCAAUCUCAAGAUGAUGAGCUGAUCCACAACAUAACACACUGUCUAUGUAGGCUAGCAUUAACUGACAAGCUCAUGCGGAAUCAGUUAUCAUACACGAACAUCAUUAAUAGCUAAUGACCAACAUAUGACAAGGUUAAAAAUAUCACCCUAAGGCCGGCUCCAAUGCAAGAGCGUUUAAAAUCUUGAGCAAAUUAACAUGCACAAUCAUACAACCCUAGCAGCUACAUUGUGUAUACUUUUUUUUAGUGUCCGACUCUAGGUUAUGUGUCUGAGGCCGAAAGUAGCCGGGGUGAUGCAAAAGUUGCCAGGAUUUUAUUCCUAGCGCCUGCAUUGUACAUGCCCUAACCAAGUUUCGGGUGACAAAAAACACUUUUAAUUUUCUGAAAAAAAUGAGAUUGUUUUUUUUGAACUCUUCUUGAUCAUCUACAUCCAUAUGGCAGAGGGCCUCCCAAAGCUCACAAGCAAAAGAGCAAUUGCGGCGAGGCAACAUAUGUUUGUUUCAUUGGGGUCAUUUUUAUUGUGGUGAUGAAGAAGCUCCUCGAUCUGCAUGGGUUGGUUCCGUUGAAAAUUGAGCGCAAUAAAAAUAAAGUUGCUCAUAAUUUAGCUAAUAUUGAUUGCUACAUAGCACCGCUAGUUCGUUGCGCUGGUUUCAACCAGCGUAUCUAAGUUUGUACUAUAGAACACUAUUACAUUUAUCCCACGAAUAAAUUUGUUUGGUGCAGGAAGCAACAAUGAUGACUUGAAAAGAACGUCAAGGAAGUGGAAAAAAUAAAAGACCCUCAACACAAAGUCUGAGUAUGUGAACCAGCCUCCCUUCCAUCAUUUAUCUUUCCUUUUAUCUUUCCCUCCCUUUUCUUCCUGCCUCCAUCUCCUUCCUAAUUUCUGUCCUGAGCACAUAUAUAGAAGGCCUACUCUUUCCUUUUAUCUUUCCCUCCCUUUCCUUCCUUAUUUCUGUGACCUUGCUUCUCUUUCCUUCUUUUUAUUUCUCGUGUAAUUGGCCUCAUCUCAUCCUUCCUCAAUCGACCCAAGGCUGCCUGGUGAUGUAGUAAAACUCACAGGCCUAUAUAAAUUAGUGCACUUUAAUUGAAAGGGGCAAGGUGAGACUAAUUAGUUUGACAAUGAACGUCGUUUCUUUUCUUAGACCAGGCCCAGCUCGGCCCAUGCGAAGGACAAAACAGAUGAGGGACAAAAGGAGCAAUUGAGAUAGGCGCAUGGCCCAGGCUUUGAGAGUUGCAUAGAAAGAAAAAAGAGUUUCUUUUUGUUGCAAGAAACAUCAGCCUUGCUAGCGGCUACGUGCUCUUUCCUAGACAACCCGAGUUCGAAUCCAGACAUUCGCAAUUUUUUUUGGCAUUCCGACAAUGACCUAAAGGAAACGCCCUGGAUCAGGGGAGGAGAUCGGGAUGGACGUGGUCGGACGCGACGCACGUGCCUACUCUGGCCCGUACGGAGGCCCAGCAAAGCGACGUACAGAUUCAGGCGGAAGCCCAACAUAGCGACGUCAUUAAAUAAAAUUAACGAUAACGACGUGGUACGAGCAGAAGCAUUAGUACCAUCUCGCGUAUAUAUUUAAAAUUUAAACUGAAAACGUAAAUUCACGGGAAGAAGCGUAUUGUGACGGUGAACCCGACAAAGUCAAUCCGUGCUUUAUUAUUAUUAGGGAUAGAUUAUAGCACAGAUGCCCGUGCGUUACAACGGGGGAAACUUUUGGUGUGAAUUCAAAUUUAGCGAGAAUUGUUCGAUCUUGUUCAUUUCACCAACUUGCUCCAUGGGCACCUUCUUCUAGUCAAUUUGACAAAGCACCCUUCUUCUGCUCAACUGUGACAAAUUCUAUACCUAUAUCGAUAGAGGAAGGUAAAAAAAUUGAAAAAAAGUCUAGUGCACCUUUUUGAAAAAAAUUAAAAAAAUUAGCUAAAAUCAGGAACCGAGGAAGAAAAUUAUGGAAUGUAGAAACUUUUGUUCAAAAUUGUACAAUUAAAAAGGUUGAUUUUAUCUAAAAAUCAGAUUAAUAGCAGAAAGUUCAAAUAUAAAAUAAAAUAAUUUAAUGUUAGAUUCCCUACUAAUUAAUUUCGUGAUAUGCAUAUAUAUGCCCGCUUUUUAAAUAGGAAGGCAAUCAGCGACAAUAAUUAUCCCCACGUGCAUCUUGCUUUUUUUAGAUCUGCAUCUCCGCUUUUAAGUAGGAAAGCAAUCAAGCUGCACUAAUUAAAUCAUUGCCUUCCCGUGGAGUCAACUUCUUGAUUUGCCUUUUCUUUCUUGGCGUUAUUCCUUCCUUUCUUGUCUUUCUAAUUGCAGAUAAUCAUUUAUUUAUUAGAUUCUCGGGGCAGCUCUGCUUAUUUUUCAGGCAAUUCAUAAGCUAACACAUGUGCGGCUUUAGCCUAGUUGGUCGUGCACGUUGGGAUGAAACGGCAGGUCAUUAGUUCGAUUCCCAUGAAAAUCAACGAAUUUUUGCUGCGCUCCUCUACAAUCUCGGCCCAUAUGCAAGGGCAAAGUCGCUGCUCACAAUCUCGGCCCAUGUGGGGCAAAGCCCAUGACGGAUAGAAAAACUUAAUUUGUCGAAUCUAUACCGAUGGCAACAUUAGUACCACCUCAUGUAUAUGUUUUAAAUUCAAACUAAAAGCAUAAAUUCAUGGGAAGAAGCGUAUUGUGACGGUGAACCCGACAAAGUCGAUCCGUGCUUUAUUAUUAGGGAAAGACUAGCACAUAUGCCCGUGCGUUGCAACGGGAGAAAAAUUGGACAUGUCCUCAAAUUAAGUGAAGAUUGUAUGUGCAAACACAGUUGUUCUUCACUACAAGGAAAGCGUUAAUUGUUAUGUCCAUUAUUUAAAAGUGUGCUAUCCAUUACAAAAUGGUAUUUGGUAUAUCUUUUUCAAUAAGAACGUGUAUUAAUUGAAUAUGUAGUAUAAGGUUAGAUUACCUCGACCCAUAUUUACUCAGGCGUGUGCAAUACUCAGAAAAUUUAGUGUACUGUAUGACAAUCAUGAAACCACACCGAACCAGGACCAUGGUCCAAAAUGUCACUAUCAUCUAUAAUCAAUUGAACACCGACACUAAAAAGGAUAGUGGUUCUAAAAUUCUAAAGAAAAUUUAGAUCCUCUACCAAAUCUGUCAAGACUCCCUGAAAAUAAACCUCCUCAAAGAAGAAGAUGAGAAGGAGAGAAAUACACAGUUACAAGCCAAAGCUUGAUGACACAGCCAACAUUAGAUGCUUGCUCAAGGUUUCCAACAGAUUUUCCCCAGGAAGAGGAGCUCCCAGAACAAACUCAACAAGCUCAAGCAACGACGGCAGGUCCCUAUUACAGCAAGAGGAAAAAAGAGGAAUUGGACAAUGAGAAGCAGCAAACAAUGUUGUGACACAGUAAGCUUGCAAAUAAACCACACUAUUUGAAAUAAUAUACCGCAAAGAAUGAGAAAAUGUGCAUGUAGAUUCGCUAAAGAAAGACUUUUCAAAAGCACAUUUACUCGUGGAGCUAUGCAAAAAAGAAAUUACCUUCCGAAAUGCCACUUAUGUUGCCAAAAGCUAAAAAAAGCAGUGAGCAACGACACUAUUGUUAUCACAGCAUCAUAUAUUCUGCAAAUAUCUCAAAACAUAUACGUCCUAGAGUGAAUAGAAAAAAAAACUAUGACUGAAUGGACCAAUUGUUCCAGCACUCGACUCUAUAUCCCUUGCUGGGUGUUUGUGAUCUCUUAAUUGGGAGUUUAUCUAAAUGAUUGAAUUCUAAUCAGGGAUCAAGACUGGCUCUACUAUCUGCAGGCAAGAAUAUGAUGUUGGCUUGCUAAUGUUCAGGGGAAGAGAGUAGCAUCUAACGCUAGAACUAUGAUCGGUUAGCUCCCAAACUUGAGAAUCAUGUGUGCACUGGCAGCAACAAGAGGAUGUUUCAAAGGUAUGUUUAUUGGGCAUGCCUAUUGACCAUAAUGCAAAUAAAGUUCUGCUUCAUCGCAGUUUGGACUACACAAUAAGUGCAGAAUGCAGCUCUUUAGUGUUUCUACAUAUCUUUAAUGGCACUGAUUAUCUUUCUUGUCAUUAGUUUACCAAGUAAAAUUUAUUAUUGACUUACUUUGGCUGAUAUAUUUGACACAACUAUCUGGAACUUUUCUGUUGUUCUUGAGCCGGCAACAUGACCAGCCUCGGCGACUUUGCUGAAGGCACCAUUGAACCAGCUUGUUCCAGCAGACACAUAUCAACAAGUAGAGGAAAUAAGGGCGAAGGAUCAGCCAUACUGAUAAAGGACAUCAUAUGUUACUCCAAAGGUGCAAAUAUGUUACAAAGGUCUACAUUUCAUCAAGAUACAUUAAAACUUGAUCACCAGAUGAUAUAAAACACACACACAUAUUGAGUAAUUCAACUGUAGCAAAAGCUUGUAAAAGAAGAGACCCGUUGGUUUUCACAGCAGAGCCUGUAUCAUUUAGCUUGCACUCUACAGCUAGCAAAUCAGCCAUUGUUUUGUCAGAAACAUGGAACCUUUAGAUUCAGAUCGGAUAAGUAACAACGACAGUCAACCAAAUAACACUUGUAACUAAAUUAUGCGGACUAACCUGAAACUGCUUUUUAGAUGAGCUAACCUGAAACUUUUAAGCGGACCUGAAACUAAC